AACACUUUAACAAUGAUUUUUGGUCUCGCAACGAUGAAGAACGCAGCGAAAUGCGAUACGUAAUGUGAAUGCAACGCCAGUGAAUCAUCAAUCUUGAACGCAUAUUGCGCUUGGGGGUAUUCCCCCAAGCACGUCUGUUUGAGUGUCC
rnacentral:rRNA from 1 species